rnacentral:rRNA from 1 species
AACGAACGCUGGCGGCGCGUCUUAAGCAUGCAAGUCGGACGGUAAGGAAGGAGCUUGCUUCUUCCCUAGAGUGGCGGACUGGUGAGUAACACGUAAGCAACCUGCCUAUUAGAGGGGAAUAACAGUGAGAAAUCAUUGCUAAUACCGCAUAUGCUGUGAGUAUCGCAUGAUACAAACAGGAAAGGAGUAAUCCGCUAAUAGAUGGGCUUGCGUCUGAUUAGAUAGUUGGUGGGGUAACGGCCUACCAAGUCGACGAUCAGUAGCUGGACUGAGAGGUUGAACGGCCACAUUGGGACUGAGAUACGGCCCAG